rnacentral:tRNA from 2 species
GUCGGGAUAGCUCAGUUGGUAGAGCAGAGGACUGAAAAUUCUCGUGUCACCAGU